UUUGAAUUUUAUUUUCAAUAUUAAGAAAUUUAGAUAGGUUUUUGGACUUCAAAUUUUCAAACAAGAAGAUUGCUGCAGAAACUUUAAGAGGGGACCUCCGAAAAGAGAAGAAAAUGACAACGAAAGACAGUACAAAGUAACUUAAGAUGGAUAUUAAAUGACUGUAACAAUCUAUAAGAAUAUACACCGUAGAGAAACAAGCGCACCCUUAAGAAAUACAGUUGAGUAGCUUGUUUAGUUUUUAUGAUCUAAAGACAACACUAUUCUCAUGCAGGUUGAAUAAUUUUAAAGUAAUUACUACUCCCUCUUAUUUCAAUUUAAAUGACACACUUUCCUUAUUAGUCUAUUCCAAAAAAAAUGACACAUUUUUAUAUUUGGAAACAAUUUAACUUUAAACUUUUCAUUUACCCACUUUACCCUUAAUGAAAAGUUUUUAUAGCCACGAAAAUGUCAUGGUCCCACAAAACUUUUAUCCUUUAAUCUUUUAGGACCACAUAUUUCAAAAGUCUUCUUUUUUUUUUCCUUAAACUUUGUGCCAAGUCAAACUACAUCAUCCAAAUUGAAACGGAGGGAUAAAGAAUAGUUUUUGGCCAUUUUCACCCGAGCAAAGCAACUGAUAACGUCAUAACAUACCACCAUGAUCCAUUGCUCGAGUACUGGACUCUACACUUCCCUUACUAUGCCCGUCUUGCAAUUGCUUCACCUGAUGAAGCUUUUGGUGUUAGGAGAAAUAAUCACAACCUGAAAGCAAAGCUUCAGACGAUUACAUAUGGAAAAAUUUCUGCCAUACCUCCUCUUUCUGCUUGUAUUGGGAUGUUGAUUGCCUUGAUGUAUCCAACUCAAG
rnacentral:lncRNA from 1 species